UUGGCUGUUGGGUUUUAGAGUUAAUGGAUUGGGGAAUAACAAAUACAUUAAUACACUAUUAAAUAAAAGAAAUGGGAAGACUUGACGUGUAAUCUUUUAUAGUUUUAAAUGUGGUUUUGUUGAAAAAGUAAAAAGAAAAUGCAUAAAAGAAAGAAAAAAACGAGGGGUACUGUAACAUAACCCAGAAGAGUUCAUUGAGUUCAAACUCCCUCUUACGCCUCUCAACUGCGUUUCUCUCGAAAUCGCUUCUCCAUAUCUCACUCUCUCUCGUUAAAACCCUCUCACUCAAAAGCUCACACUAGCCUAUUCAUUCCCCUCUCCGU
rnacentral:lncRNA from 1 species